UAUUGAUCAUGGGGGACAUUGAUCGAGCACAGCUUGAAACGUUCUCAAGUUUCAUGAAUAGGCUCUCUUUCCAUCUAUGAGAAUGUGUAAAUCUUAUUUCUCAAAUC